rnacentral:rRNA from 1 species
AAUAUAGGACAAUGGGCGAAAGCCUGAUCCAGCCAUGCCGCGUGUGUGAAGAAGGUCUUCGGAUUUUAUAGCACUUUAAGAUGGGGGGAAGGGCUUUAGGUUAAUACCCUGAAGUUUGUCCGUUACCAAUAGAAUACGCACCGGCAAUCUCCGCGCCAGUAGCCGCGGUAAUACGAAGGUCGCAAGCGUUAAUCGGAAUUACUGGGCGUAAAGCGGGCGUAGGUGGUUUGUUAAGUUGGAAGUGAAAGCCCCGGGCUCAACCUGGGAACUGCUUUCAAAACUGGCAAGCUAGAGUAUGGCAGAGGGUGGUGGAAUUUCCUGUGUAGCGGUGAAAUGCGUAGAAAUAGGAAGGAAAACCAGUGGCGAAGGCGACCACCUGGGCUAAUACUGACACUGAGGUGCGAAAGCGUGGGGAGCAAAC